rnacentral:rRNA from 1 species
UACGUAGGGGGCAAGCGUUGUCCGGAAUUAUUGGGCGUAAAGCGCGCGCAGGCGGUCAUUUAAGUCUGGUGUUUAAGCCCGGGGCUCAACCCCGGUUCGCAUCGGAAACUGGAUGACUUGAGUGUAGGAGAGGAAAGUGGAAUUCCACGUGUAGCGGUGGAAAUGACGUAGAGAUGUGGAGGAACACCAGUGGCGAAGGC